rnacentral:rRNA from 1 species
UACGGAGGAUCCGAGCGUUAUCCGGAUUUAUUGGGUUUAAAGGGUGCGCAGGCGGGAGAUUAAGUCGGCGGUGAAAUUUUGCAGCUCAACUGUAAAAGUGCCUUCGAAACUGGUUUCCUUGAGUGUGGAUGAAGUAGGCGGAAUUUGUGGUGUAGCGGUGAAAUGCAUAGAUAUCACGAGGAACUCCGAUUGCGCAGGCAGCUUACUAAACUACUACUGACGCUCAGGCACGAAGGCGUGGGGAUCAAACAGGAUUAGAUACCCCGGUAGU